GAGGCCUACACUGCCAACAGGUGGGUCACUAAUAACUGGAGCAUUGGUAAUACGAGUGUUUCCCCGGUCACUCCCCAUGGUAGGUGGUGGUGUAACUGUGUUUAACUACCAGGGGUUUUAUGACACUAUGUCAACAUAGGUCAGCUGAUAGCCAUUCUAUUAGGUAAUCGGUAGUCACCCUGGCGCCUCAACAAAAUAUUAUAGAAUACUCUGUAGCCAAAGUAAUGCCACA
rnacentral:lncRNA from 1 species